GUCUAUAGCCAGUGCAUUCCUAACUCCCCUUGCACUAAGGCUGACUGAGGCUGUGGGAAGAGAUGUUCCUCCUGUUCUCUGUUCCUUCACAGAGUCUUGUCGUGUUAUGUUCAGGUAUUUUGUCCUGGUUUCACCUGUAUGGGUUCUGAGUCUGGGAAAAUCCCUGGAUAUAUCUUCAGGCCUAGUCCCACUAAAGACAGCUGUAUCCUCAGUGUGAAAGGGGUAGCACGCUAAGGAAAGCGCUUAGCAUGCAAUGUAGGUGUUUGGGAGGCUGGAGAGAGAGAUAGCCGAAUCUGGGAGAUGUCAGCCUCGGACUGCAGCGCUGAGACUGGUGAUAUGGAUGGGAGGACGAGACUCGCAGAGCCGCGAUCAAAAGAGACAAGGAGCGGCUGAAGUGAGCCUCCUGACUCGAGGAAUCGGAGAGAUCUUUCUGCCAAUCAAACCAAGCUGAGGAAAACGCGCAUCCUUCCAGAAAAUUCACAUAUCUGGGAAUGGAGAAACACAUUUCACAGUUAGGUUUGUGCCUUCCAGCCGUUCCAUAAUAUUCGCAAAUAUCAAAGGGACCAGCCAGUUAAAGAAGAAAUACAACGGUGAAGGUAGUUUUCGUUUUGCGUG